CAAGCAUACAGGAAGUGAUACCUGUACACAGAAAGUGGCACAUGUACAUAGGAAGUGGUGGAUCACGAUCCUGCCGUGUGUCCCAGACCCUUCUCAGAUGAACAAGAAAGGAGAGAGACAUCACCAAGAAGAACAGGAUACAUGGAAAAGCAUAAUAAAAUUAUGAAUUAUGCUUUUACAUAAUAGCAGGAGACGGGAAGAAAGAUUUGCUAAUCAUUCUGGGGAAAGAGAAUUGGAACUACUUGGUUCAAAGUGAGCUCCCUGCAGGAAAAGUUUACCAACCAAUGGAACAGACACAAGGACUGUGGAAUACAGAUUCUGAACAUCCAAGCUGUACAAGGUCUGUAAUCAAUAAACUGUUCUCAGCUGUUGAUCUUCCCUCCAAAAUUAAGGAACAUAAGUGAAUGGCAAAGUAUAAAUAAAAAUUAAAGAGGGAGAAAUAAUAAAUUAAGAGAUGUGGAAUAAAAUUAAAA